CAGGUUGAUAGGUUCGAGGUGGAAGUGUGGCGACACAUGGAGCUGACGAAUACUAAUCGAUCGAGGACUUAACCAAAUU
rnacentral:rRNA from 2 species